rnacentral:misc_RNA from 1 species
UCCUGGUUAACCCAGGCAGUCUCAUUAGAGUUCCCACCUUAAAUGUUGGCAACUAAUGAUAAGGGUUGCGCUCGUUGCGGGACUUAACCCAACACCUCACGGCACGAGCUGACGACGGCCAUGCAGCACCUGUGCAGCAGUCCCGAAGGAAGACUCCAUCUCUGGAGCUGUCUACUGCAUGUCAAGCCUGGGUAAGGUUCUUCGCGUUGCAUCGAAUUAAACCACAUGCUCCACUGCUUGUGCGGGUCCCCGUCAAUUCCUUUGAGUUUUAGCCUCGCGGCCGUACUCCCCAGGCGGGGUGCUUAAUGCGUUAGCUUCGGCACGGAUGGGGUCGAUGUCCACCCACACCUAGCACCCAACGUUUACGGCUAGGACUAC